GGUCUGUAUGUGAGCAUGAGGCAAACUGUUUCAAAGAAAAGAACCAACACACCAAUCUGGCGGUGAUGCAUGGAUGCCGAAGCUCUUCAGUGCAGACAGCAUUUAAACACCCUCACUUCUAGCAAAGCGCAUGGGCCAGAGACAUGGAAUCAGUGAUACAGUGACAGAAUAUGGACAAACCAAAUAAGACUUUAGCCCCUCCCCCUCCCAUUCAAUUUGUUGCACUUUGUUCCUGAGAAGCUUAUUCCACAUUUCUGGGGCCACCACAGAAAAUGUCCUACUCCUAAUAGAUGACAGCUUCACCUCCUGAGAGGACACAACCUGAAGCAAGAACUCAUUGAGGGUUUUGCUUUGUUUUUACAAUCAAGUGGUGUAUCGAUUUUAUGAAAUAAAUAAAUGGGCAAAUCUUAAAGCUCUCAAGGAGACAUACUGCACAGGGCGAGUGGCAGGGUCUGUAUUGAGGGAUGGGGCUUCUGGGUCAGCAGAGCUAGAGGGUGUUGACCUUCCUCCCUUGAUCUGCUCCAGGGCCCAACGCAAAGGCAGGGAACCAGGCAGCGUGCCACCUGGCCUCUCACCAAAGCAGGAACUGUACCUGAGGCCCAAAGCAGCCACACUCCUGCAUUGCAGGGGGUUGGACUAGAGGACAAUUCUAGGAAUCUGCAGUUCUACCAUACUGGACUGUAGUUCACCUCUGAAGGAACACCUGUGUGAAGCAUCAUUCUGGUAGAGCAGUCAUCCAUGGAUACCUUGUUUGUGGUGACCCUUUCCUGGAAGCUGGUGAAUGUCAGCUGGCUCUCCUUGGUGUGGAUCAACUGAUCUUCUUCCUUCAAAUCCUUGCGAGGUGCCAUAAAGACCAGUUCCAGAAGACUUCCCAGACUCCCUGUCUUGUUGGCCUCCCUUCUCAUAUGGUGUGCCUAGAGGCUUUGGCAAAUGCUACCUCACAACAGCAACCUACUGGUACUUAAAAGCUUGCACUGGCUGCCCAUAAGUUACUGGAAUAAGUUCUUGUAUUAAUUUGCAAGGACCUUAACGACUUGGCUCCAUGAUACUUCUCUGUUACUGUUCUUCCAUGGUUCAGAUGCAGGGCUCUUAGCCACCAGAAACCAUGCAGUCAGUACUGUGCGCCCGAUUCUGUGAAACUCCCUGCCACCUGAGAUUAGACAGGCUCUCUAGUGUUUGACAAAGACCUUUCUAUUCCAGCAGGCAAUUUAAUGAAGACUUCUGUUAUUGGGAUUAAUUUUAAUUGAAUUUUUCCACUGUAUGCUUUGUGUGAUUUUUAGGUACACCGCUUAGAGAUUUUGGUUAUUACUGGGUAAGUGGUAUAUAAUGAACAUACAUACAUACAUACAUACAUACAUACAUAACAGCAUUCCCAAAACCUUUAGGUAUUAGAUGGAGAACAGAUGGGUGAGAUGCUAUACACAAUGCAACAUAUUUUUAUUUAUUGCUCUAAGGCUCAACCCACUUUUCACUAUAUCAAGGGGAGGUCUAUUGCCAAAGGAUAUGGUACUGUUUGGAG
rnacentral:lncRNA from 1 species